rnacentral:tRNA from 1 species
CGGGGUGUAGUUUAGUGGUAGAAUGCGCGGCUGGGGGUCGUGUGGUGGAGGUUCGAUUCCUCCCACCCCGA